CCUACGGGUGGCAGCAGUGGGGGAUAUUGCACAAUGGGGGAAACCCUGAUGCAGCGACGCCGCGUGGGCGAAGAAGUAUCUCUGUAUGUAAAGCCCUAUCUGCAGGGGAGAAGAAAUGACGGUACCUGAGUAAGAAGCACCGGCGAAAUACGUGCCAGCAGCCGCGGUAAUACGUAGGGUGCAAGCGUUAUCCGGAUUUACUGGGUGUAAAGGGAGCGCAGGCGGCACGGCAUGCCUGGUGUGAAAGCCCGCGGCCCAACCGCGGGACUGCAUUUGGAACUGCCGGGCUAGAGUGCCGGAGAGGUAGGCGGAAUGCCUGGUGUAGCGGUGAAAUGCGUAGAUAUUAGGAGGAACACCGGUGGCGAAGGCAGCCUACUGGAC
rnacentral:rRNA from 1 species